CGCAUCCAGCCGGAGAGAGUCACUGCUGUCCCAGAGAUUUGUAGGGACUGCACGGAUUCUUUGAGAACUUGUUAAACUCUCCUGUGGACUGACCGUCCCAAAGAUAACAGGUCACAGAGCAAUGAGAGGGUGUUAAGUGCUCCUUUGUAACACCUUCCCUGUGCUUAAAGCUUUCCCAGUCAAAAAUCCAGUUUUGCCCUACUCAAAGUAAUGGGGAUGUGCAUGGCUUUCAUUAGUCUUUUUUGUUGUGUGGGGUUUUUUUCCUUUAAAUCUUUGUAAUCUGAGCAAGUCUCUUGACUGCUGGAGGUCUGAGUCAUGGUAGUUGAAUGAAUACACUGAUAAUUUGACAAGAGAAAAGCACUUUUCUGUGUUUAUAAAAGAUGCUUUGACUUGCAGCCCUGUGUCCAGGGAGCCAUGACUUAAUCUACCAGGCAUCUCAUGAUAUCUGAUGUGUUCACAAGAUCUACUCAAGUCAGAUGAUUACAUGAAAGGCUUGAGCUUGCUGAAGUACAUUAUAAUGACAAAGGUGCUGAAAUACAUAUUUCAAAUCAAAGAAAAUGGAUGCUGCUCUAGGGUAAUGGUCUCCUGCUGAAAUGCAGUGCCUGCCAGAAGACAUCCUUUCAGCCUGACACAAGUUAUGCGCCAGCCCCAACCUCUGAGCUGCCCCCAGAGAGAGGAGGAGGGUUCUGCUCAUGGCAGAGAGCUGCAGCUACUGUCCACAGGAAAGACACCCAGACCUAACAAGGAGUAUGGAUUGAACAAGGUAAGAUCUGCACUCAAGCAGCCAGAAGCCCACGCAUUACGCUUAUGGGGGAAGAUCACCCACAGUGCACAAACGUGCAGUGAGCUUUGGGAGGGAGGAGGCAGCUCAGCACAGUGUACCAUGCAUGCCCUUGCAUUGUGGAGGAAGGCACAGGCAAUUGGAUUUAACCAGCUGGGUGGAAUUUGAUUUGAUUAGCUUUGGCACAGUUUCACAUACUCUCAAUUCAUCAGUGAAUGGAGUAACUAUAUUGGAAAGCUACUGGGGAAAAACAACAUUGCCCCUGAUGCUACUGUCACAGGCAGAUAGAGCACAAUCCCAUACAGGCUCACUCUGUGUUUUCCUCUCUUCAUUGUCUCCCUAGUUAGUUUUUUUGUGCCAGUGUGUGUCUUCCUGUAUCAGGAUUGGCUGCCUUUUCUUGCUCUGAGAUCUUGGCAUGUAAAGAGCAGUAAUUACUCCAUGACUUGACUAUGAGCAAGGGUGGGAGUGCCCCCUCUUGAACAAUAAAACCCCUUGUAGAGAAAAGCCUAACUAAACAAAACAAAAUGUGUAAAACCAGGCAGUGCUGCCACAAAGCACUUUGCUAGCUAGAGAGUGUAUAUGGAGUAUGAAUAAGAGCCUGCUGUGUUUCAGUCUGUCCUGCCUGUGAAAGAUCCCAUUCUAUAAAGGGGUACGUGUUAGUCUCUUCUUAUGUCAUACAAGUCUAGGCAAAUACAACUACUUUAGUUUCAAUGAAGCUGUGCCUAAUCUCCACCAAGAAUGAGAACUGAACCAGGCCCAGCAAUUUGGGACAGCAUGUUCAUACAAAGCCAUCUUCUCUCAGAUUCAUCUUGAGAAAAUAACAUCCCCUACUUUUACCAACUGUCAAUACCUCGUAAUUUUGAGUAUCAGUAGUGGCAGCUCACAGUUAAAAACAUUUUUGUGUAGUAUGAGCUUACAAGUCCUGUAAUAUGAGCUAAUAAAGGGUAAUAUGCAAGUGAUUGAAGUCUUUUGAAACAUGGCUCACCAGAAGAUCAUGUGUCUAUCAUGUGUCAGGCUGAGCUCUCUGUAUGAAGAAUAUGAUAGAAAUUUAUUGCUUUAUCUUACAGCUCCCCAGAAGACCAUCCUUUUAAAGUAGUAUAAAAAAAGUGUUUUGUUUGAAGGAUAGAUCUGAAGAAAAAGUUAUAGGUUUCAGAGACAGGGAAUCAAGCUAAAUAUGGUGAGCUGUACAGAUGAAUCUCAGGAAUUAUUCCUGUGACACACAUUCUCAAGCUAAGUUCCCCUAAGUAUUAACAUCUGUCCUGAGUGAAAAUAGACUUUCAUCAGUUAAUUUUCAAAUCAAGAGGUGAAAUUAAAAAGUGAGAAAAUUCUCAGUAUGAAAAUUAAAUUGAAGCAUCCAAGUUUUCAACAGAAAAGUUCCAGGCAUGAGCCUUUUUGAUUUUUAGCAGGGUACUACAAUUGUGAAUACUUGUAGGAGCUCAAUUGUAACUGUAGAGAGGCCAAAAACCCCCAUGUAUACAUCUAGAAAAUACAGAAAAUAGAAAUAUGGAUCUUAAAGGUAAAGAACCAAAAAUUAAUUAAUGCACUUAAUGAAUGAUCAACAGCUAUGUAAUUUUGAGUGUGUACUUCUUACAGAUUUUGUUCCACUUCCUCAUGUGGGAGGAAUCCUUUGUGGGAUUAGGCAGGACAUUUUCCUUUGACAAACAAUGUAAGACUGAAAAUGAUACAUGAAAAAAGGCCAAAAGCUUUACUUGUGAAUUCUGUCCACCAUCAGUGGUCGUUGAUAUCAAUGUUCUUUGAGUAGAAAGGCUACAAAAUCAAUAAAAGUAAUAAAAACAUUA